GACAGAGGUGGCAAGCGUUGUCCGGACUGACUGGGCGUAAAGCGCACGCAGGUGGCCACGCAAGUGCGGUGUGAAAGCGCCCGGCUUAACCGGGCGAGGCCAUCGCAGACUGUGUAGCUCGAGCCAUGCAGAGGUCGGUGGAAUUGCCGGUGUAGUGGUGAAAUGCGUAGAGAUCGGCAGGAACACCAAGGGCGGAAGCAGCCGACUGGGCAUGGGCUGACACUCAGGUGCGACAGCGUGGGGAGCGAACUGG
rnacentral:rRNA from 1 species